ACAAAUCCAUGCUCUUGGGUCGUCGUAAGGCGGCCUGAGAUGACAUUAACUCGCUUGGUGCGCAAGCAUCAAGUGAAGAUACCAUAUAAAUGUAUGUUGUGUAGACAAAGUGUGUGUAAUAAUAAAAUUAAAUGA
rnacentral:misc_RNA from 1 species